rnacentral:lncRNA from 1 species
UGUAACUCCAAGUGUGUUUUCCUCUACUGAAACUUCAGUAUUUAUAAACUGAUUUUCGUGGGUAGUGGGCUCAAAUGAGGGAGACCCAAGUCCAAAAUAAUUUGUUAUAUUUUAUUUAUUUAUUUAUUUUAUUUAUUUAAUUAAUUAAUUAAUUAAUUUUUUUUUCGUUUUUUUUUUUUCGUUUUUUUUUUCCAGGAAAAAUGAAGGGUAAAUUUUGGGGUAUUACAUUAUUUACUAAAAAUAAGGGUCAAAAGAAAAUGACUCGCACGGAUGUCGC